rnacentral:rRNA from 2 species
UGCAUCAUGAUUUACAUUUGAGUGAGUGGCGAACUGGUGAGUAACACGUGGGAAACCUGCCCAGAAGCGGGGGAUAACACCUGGAAACAGAUGCUAAUACCGCAUAACAACUUGGACCGCAUGGUCCGAGCUUGAAAGAUGGCUUCGGCUAUCACUUUUGGAUGGUCCCGCGGCGUAUUAGCUAGAUGGUGGGGUAACGGCUCACCAUGGCAAUGAUACGUAGCCGACCUGAGAGGGUAAUCGGCCACAUUGGGACUGAGACACGGCCCAAACUCCUACGGGAGGCAGCAGUAGGGAAUCUUCCACAAUGGACGAAAGUCUGAUGGAGCAACGCCGCGUGAGUGAAGAAGGGUUUCGGCUCGUAAAACUCUGUUGUUAAAGAAGAACAUAUCUGAGAGUAACUGUUCAGGUAUUGACGGUAUUUAACCAGAAAGCCACGGCUAACUACGUGCCAGCAGCCGCGGUAAUACGUAGGUGGCAAGCGUUGUCCGGAUUUAUUGGGCGUAAAGCGAGCGCAGGCGGUUUUUUAAGUCUGAUGUGAAAGCCUUCGGCUCAACCGAAGAAGUGCAUCGGAAACUGGGAAACUUGAGUGCAGAAGAGGACAGUGGAACUCCAUGUGUAGCGGUGAAAUGCGUAGAUAUAUGGAAGAACACCAGUGGCG